rnacentral:lncRNA from 1 species
CCGCCAUUUGUUGUUGCCUAGAACGCAGUAAAAAUGGGUGUGUGUGUGUGUGUGUGUGUGUGUGUUGUGCCUUCGUGUAAUAACCGAACAGACAGAAAUAAAAAGAGGAAUAAAAAUAAUGAAGAAAAAGCGGAUAAAAAGUGUAAAAUCACCUUUCAUAGAUUUGCAAGAGAUUCAAAGAAACGAAUUUUGUGGAUAAAUAUUUUGAACGUGGAUCCAUCAAAAGUUUCACCUCACGCACUUAUUUGUUGGAGGCAUUUCAAAAAAGAAGACAUUGAUACAUCCGACAUCGUCUCUUGCAACAGUCAGGCUUAGGCCUAAUGCAUUGCCAACUGAACAACAAUGUGAAAAACAACAUUGCCACUUCUCCAGACUUGGAAUUCUAAAAAGAGAAUAUCAGUAAUGAAGCUGAUACUUCUCUAAAUAUUACACAAUAUACUGAACAUACAGAAGUAAUCUAGUAUGAAGAAGAGACUAAUUUCGAUGAAAGUGUUAUCCCACAGCAGCAGGAACAUGUGAACAGCGACAUUAUUACUUCUCUAGAAAGAAAUCCUGUGCAUAAUAAUCAAGUAAUAGAGGCAUCAUGAAGAAGUGUUUCCACACUAAUUAUAGAAAAAGAUGUAUCACUUACGCAUGAAAAGGAAACCAUGGUAGAUUCUACAUUCCGUUAUAAUUCACCCGAGAAAACUAGACCGCGAGCUCGAAUAAAAUCUAUAAGUCACCAUAUGGAUCAAGCUCACCCACACGCACGCCCGCACGCCCGCACGCCCGCACGCCCGCACGCCCGCACAUACGCCCGCACAUACGCGCACGCCCAAUGUAUGAAAUGUUAUCUCACAAUUAUGUGUCAGAAUUAUAGAAAAUGACAAUUUUACAAAAA